AAUUCCCAGAAAAAGAAAAAAGAAAAAAAAAACUGAAACCCUCUCUCUUCUCUCUCUUCUCUCUCUGGAGGAAGGAAGGCAACUAUGGAAGCUAUGCUUGUGGACUGUGUACACAACAGUCUUCGUCAUUUUGUAUACAAGAAUGCUAUUUUCAUGUGCGAGCGUCUCUGCGCUGAGUUCCCCUCUGAGGUUAAUUUGCAGCUAUUAGCCACCAGCUACCUGCAGAAUAACCAAGCUUACAGUGCAUAUCAUCUGUUAAAGGGAACACAAAUGGCUCAGUCCCGGUACUUGUUCGCGUUAUCAUGCUUCCAGAUGGACCUUCUCAAUGAAGCUGAAUCUGCACUCUGUCCUGUUAAUGAACCUGGUGCGGAGAUCCCAAAUGGCGCAGCAGGCCAUUACCUUCUUGGACUGAUUUACAAGUAUACGGAUAGAAGGAAGAAUGCUGCUCAACAAUUUAAAUUGUCUUUAACAAUAGACCCUCUACUUUGGGCCGCAUAUGAGGAAUUAUGUAUACUAGGUGCUGCUGAGGAAGCAACUGCAGUUUUUGGUGAAACAGCUGCUCUCUCCAUUCAAAAGCAGUACAUGCAACAACUGUCAACUUCCCUCGGCUUAAACACGUACAAUGAGGAACGUAAUUCGACUUCUACUAAAAACACGAGUUCUGAAGAUUAUAGUCCAAGGCAGUCUAAACACACACAAAGCCAUGGCCUUAAAGAUAUCUCUGGAAAUUUUCAUUCUCAUGCAAUUAAUGGAAGUGUUUCGAAUAUGUCAUUCUAUAAUACGCCUUCGCCAGUGGCUGCACAGCUGUCCGGUGUAGCUCCUCCACCACUUUUCCGGAAUUUUCAGCCGGCUGUUGCAAACCAAAACUCUCUUAUUACUGACAAUUCUCCAAAGUCCACAGUAAACUCGACUCUUCAAGCACCCAGAAGAAAGUUUGUAGAUGAAGGAAAGCUACGUAAGAUUUCUGGCAGGCUAUUUUCUGAUUCUGGUCCACGACGGAGCUCGAGACUGUCUGCGGAUUCAGGGGCAAACACUAAUUCAAGUGCUGCAACAGUAAGCGGAAAUGUAAGCAACGCUUCCAAGUAUUUGGGAGGUUCUAAAUUGAGUUCUUUAGCACUUCGUUCUGUAACACUUCGGAAGGGACACUCCUGGGCGAAUGAAAACAUAGAUGAAGGAGUUCGUGGGGAACCUUUUGAUGAUUCAAGGCCUAAUACUGCCUCAACGAUUGGUUCUAUGGCCUCCAAUGAUGCUAAAUUCUGUGAUCAAGAAGACGAAACAAUGUUGACUGCGGGCACAGCAAUGAGUGCCCAAAGAAUCACAAUUGGUGUUUCGGAAAUUUUAAGCCUCCUUAGGAUACUUGGAGAAGGGUGUAGACUUUCGUACAUGUACAGGUGUCAGGAGGCACUGGAUAUGUAUAUGAAACUUCCACAUAAGCAUCAUAAUACAGGAUGGGUUCUUUCCCAGGUCGGGAAAGCAUACUUUGAACNAAGAAGACGAAACAAUGUUGACUGCGGGCACAGCAAUGAGUGCCCAAAGAAUCACAAUUGGUGUUUCGGAAUUUGUAAGCCUCCUUAGGAUACUUGGAGAAGGGUGUAGACUUUCGUACAUGUACAGGUGUCAGGAGGCACUGGAUAUGUAUAUGAAACUUCCACAUAAGCAUCAUAAUACAGGAUGGGUUCUUUCCCAGGUCGGGAAAGCAUACUUUGAACUAAUCGACUAUUUAGAAGCUGAAAAAGCAUUCCGUCUUGCCCGCCAGGCUUCUCCUUAUUGCUUAGAAGGAAUGGAUAUAUACUCUACGGUCCUCUACCAUUUGAAGGAAGAUAUGAAGCUGAGUUACUUGGCUCAGGAACUAAUAUCAACCGAUCGCCUAGCUCCCCAAUCUUGGUGUGCUAUGGGGAAUUGCUAUAGCUUGCAAAAGGACCAUGAGACCGCACUAAAGAAUUUCCUGCGAGCUGUUCAACUGAAUCCAAGAUUUGCAUAUGCUCAUACUUUAUGUGGCCACGAGUAAGAAAACUUCUAUCGAU